UACGGGGGGGGCAAGCGUUGUUCGGAUUUACUGGGCGUAAAGGGCGCGUAGGCGGCUUGACAAGUCACUUGUGAAAUCUCCGGGCUUAACUCGGAACGGCCAAGUGAAACUGUCAUGCUAGAGUGCAGAAGGGGCAAUCGGAAUUCUUGGUGUAGCGGUGAAAUGCGUAGAUAUCAAGAGGAACACCUGAGGUGAAGACGGGUUGCUGGGCUGACACUGACGCUGAGGCGCGAAAGCCAGGGGAGCAAACGGG
rnacentral:rRNA from 1 species